rnacentral:rRNA from 1 species
CCUUCGGGGGGCAGCCGUAGGGGAUUUUCCGCCAAGGACGGAAAUCUGACGGAGCAACGCCCCGUGAGUGAAGAAGGCUUUCGGGUUGUAAAACUUUGUUGUUAGGGAAGAACCAGUUCCAGUGAAUAAGCUGGCACCUUGACGUAC